rnacentral:rRNA from 1 species
AAACUUUCAACAACGG